rnacentral:rRNA from 1 species
GGGGGGCGGGGGCGGGGGGCGGGGCGCGUGGGAGGCGGGCGGGGCCGGCGGGGCGGGUGGCGCACGGGGGCGUAACGCGUGGGAACCUGCCCUUAGGUUCGGAAUAACUCCCCGAAAGGGGUGCUAAUACCGGGUAAUGUCUUCGGACCAAAGAUUUAUCGCCUUUGGAUGGGCCCGCGUUGGAUUAGCUAGUUGGUAGGGUAAAAGCCUACCAAGGCGACGAUCCAUAGCUGGUCUGAGAGGAUGAUCAGCCACACUGGGACUGAGACACGGCCCAGACUCCUACGGGAGGCAGCAGUGGGGAAUAUUGGACAAUGGGCGAAAGCCUGAUCCAGCAAUGCCGCGUGAGUGAUGAAGGCCUUAGGGUUGUAAAGCUCUUUUACCCGGGAUGAUAAUGACAGUACCGGGAGAAUAAGCUCCGGCUAACUCCGUG